rnacentral:rRNA from 1 species
AAUGAACGUUGGCGGCGUGGAUUAGGCAUGCAAGUCGAGCGAGAAGCCGUUUUUUUGCUUGCAUUGAAAGGUGGAAAGCGGCGAAAGGGAGAGUAACGCGUAGAUUACGUACCCACGGGGUUUGGGAUAGCGGCGGGAAACUGCCGGUAAUACCAGAUAAUGUCUCCGGACCAAAGAUUUAUCGCCCUUGGAGCGGUCUGCGUCCUAUUAGUUUGUUGGUGGGUAAAAGCUUACCAAGGCUAAGAUGGGUAGCGGGUGUGAGAGCAUGGCCCGUCUCACUGGGACUGAGACACUGCCCAGACGUCUACGGACGGCUGCAGUCGAGAAUCUUCCGCAAUGGACGAAAGUCUGACGGAGCGACGCCGCGUGCGGGAUGAAGGCCUUCGGGUUGUAAACCGCUGUCAGAGGGGAGCAAAUUUUGAGCGAUCCUCAGAGGAAGCACAGGCUAAAUUCGUG